AAUUCAUGAUGAGAGCACUUUCUAAGCAUUUCAUUUAAUUAUUCCCAACUCUCAUAAAUGGAUUCUCCUUUAAAUUGAGUAAAAUAAGUUAAGUCAUUUAUAGGUUU